AGAGUUUGAUCAUGGCUCAGAACGAACGCUGGCGGCGUGCUUAACACAUGCAAGUCGAGUGCGCGCCUGUAGCAAUACAGGUGGCGCACGGCGCACGGGUGCGUGACACGUGGGUAACCUGCCCUUUGGUGGGGAAUAACUCCGCGAAAGCGAAGCUAAUUCCGCAUAAGAUCCGCAAGGAUGAAAGCCGAAAGGCGCCGAUGGAGGGGCCCGCGCACGAUUAGCUAGUUGGUAGGGUAAUGGCCUACCAAGGCUUUGAUCGUUAGCUGGUCUGAGAGGAUGGCCAGCCACACUGGAACUGAGACACGGUCCAGACUCCUACGGGAGGCAGCAGUGGGGAAUCUUGCACAAUGGGCGAAAGCCUGAUGCAGCGACGCCGCGUGGGGGAUGAAGCUUCUCGGAGUGUAAACCCCUUUCGAUCCGGACGAAUGCCCGCAAGGGAUUGACGGUACGGAUAUAAGAAGCCCCGGCUAACUACGUGCCAGCAGCCGCGGUAAUACGUAGGGGGCCAGCGUUGUUCGGAAUUACUGGGUGUAAAGGGUUCGUAGGCGGUGCGGCAAGUUGGGAGUGAAAUCUCUGGGCUCAACCCAGAGGCUGCUUCCAAAACUGCCGUGCUUGAGUGUGGGAGAGGCUCGUGGAAUUGCAGGUGUAGCGGUGAAAUGCGUAGAUAUCUGCAGGAACACCCGUGGCGAAAGCGGCGAGCUGGACCACUACUGACGCUGAAGAACGAAAGCUAGGGGAGCAAACAGGAUUAGAUACCCUAGUAGUCC
rnacentral:rRNA from 1 species